AUUCUCCUGCCUCAGCCUCCCGAGUAGCUGGGACUACAGGCGCCUAAUUUUCCAUAAAAUGUAUACCACCAAAAAGAAAAAUUCUGACUGCAGGGAAGCAGUACACUCUGUAGACCCCGGAGAAAAAUAAAUCACCAUGAGAUUUGACAACAAUCAAUUUUUCACUGCACGCUAAUCAAGCAGAUAGAAAGAAGGCCAUGUCCUCUUGGCUAACCACUGAUAGAGAACAGCCUGGAGCAGCCUUGAGAAGCCCCUGUGGUGAAAACACAUCAAUGUCAGCUUUAAACUGGGGGCUUGUUUUAAGCGUAAACUAAUUUUUCCAGUUUCUCCCUUACUUUACCUUUUCAUAACCAC
rnacentral:lncRNA from 10 species